CUUGCCAGGGAACUACGAGCCCCAGCUUAAAACCCAAAGGACUUGGCGGUGCUUUAGACCCCCCUAGAGGAGCCUGUUCUAGAACCGAUACCCCCCGUUAAACCUCACCCUCUCUUGUCUUUCCCGCCUAUAUACCGCCGUCGUCAGCUUACCCUAUGAAGGAUGCACAGUAAGCAGAAUUGGUAGAACCCAAAACGCCAGGUCGAGGUGUAGCGUACGAGAGGGGAAGAAAUGGGCUACAUUCACUGAACCAGUGAACAACGGAAGAUGCCUUGAAAUAAACAUCCAAAGGAGGAUUUAGCAGUAAGAGGAAAAAUAGAGAGUCCCUCUGAAACUGGCCCUGAAGCGCGCACACACCGCCCGUCACUCUCCCCAAAGAAAACAUAACUGUAAAUAAGAAAAAACCUAAAUAAAGGGGAGGCAAGUCGUAACAUGGUAAGUGUACCGGAAGGUGCACUUGGAAAAAU
rnacentral:rRNA from 1 species